rnacentral:rRNA from 1 species
UCUCCUGGAAACGGGUGGUAAUGCCGGAUGCUCCAUCACACUGCAUGGUGUGUUGGGAAAGCCUUUGCGGCAUGGGAUGGGGUCGCGUCCUAUCAGCUUGAUGGCGGGGUAACGGCCCACCAUGGCUUCGACGGGUAGCCGGCCUGAGAGGGCGACCGGCCACAUUGGGACUGAGAUACGGCCCAGACUCCUACGGGAGGCAGCAGUGGGGAAUAUUGCACAAUGGGCGCAAGCCUGAUGCAGCGACGCCGCGUGAGGGAUGGAGGCCUUCGGGUUGUAAACCUCUUUUGUUAGGGAGCAAGGCAYUUUGUGUUGAGUGUACCUUUCGAAUAAGCACCGGCUAACUACGUGCCAGCAGCCGCGGUAAUACGUAGGGUGCAAGCGUUAUCCGGAAUUAUUGGGCGUAAAGGGCUCGUAGGCGGUUCGUCGCGUCCGGUGUGAAAGUCCAUCGCUUAACGGUGGAUCCGCGCCGGGUACGGGCGGGCUUGAGUGCGGUAGGGGAGACUGGAAUUCCCGGUGUAACGGUGGAAUGUGUAGAUAU